rnacentral:rRNA from 1 species
GACGAACGCUGGCGGCGUGCUUAACACAUGCAAGUCGAACGGAAAGGCCCCUUUCGGGGUACUCUGAUGUCGGACGGGGGAGUAAGACGUACGUAACCAGCCCCUACCUAUGGGACAGGGACAGAAAACUGAGGCCAAUACCGAUACGGAAUCAUAUCUUCAUGGGGGGGGUUGAAAAGUUUCAGCGGUUUUUGCUGUAAUCUCUGGUUAUCAGCUUGUUGGAGGGGUUGUGGCUUACCAAGGCGGCGACGGGUAGCCAGCCUGCGUGGGCGACCGGCGACAUUGGGACUGAGGUACGGCCCAGACUCCUACGGGAGGCAGCAGGGGGGAAUAUUGCACAAUGGGCGGAAGCCUGAUGCAGCAGCGCCGCGGGCGGGAUGACGGCCUUAGGGUUGUAAACCGCUUUCAGCAGGGGCGAAGCUUGUGGUGACGGUACCUGCAGAAGAAGCACCGGCUAACUACGUG